UUAAAAUGGAAGCUAAAAUACACGGAAAGCCUUUGAGAGAGGAGCAAGCUCAGCCUGCUGUUCUUGUCCUUUCUGGAUUCAGGGGCGCCCUUUCAGAGAAAAACAUGGACCUGAUUGGCAUCAUCCUGUAUCCAUGGAAACCUCAUGGCACAAAUGAUCUCUCCACUGAUUAGACUGGAACAGCAUUUGCAGACGCUGCAUGUAAAAACUUCCCUGAUGAAAAUUGUUACCUUUUCACAUGCUAGGCUCUCCACAUCAGUCCUAYACAUCUGCUCGUGCGUGCGAAUACAAAAGUGUCAAGGCUGUAAGUUCGGUGAUUUUGGUGUGGGCUGAAC